rnacentral:rRNA from 1 species
UACGUAGGGUGCAAGCGUUGCCCGGAAUUAUUGGGCGUAAAGAGCUCGUAGGCGGUCUGUCGCGUCGGCUGUGAAAACUCGGGGCUCAACUCCGAGCUUGCAGUCGAUACGGGCAGGCUAGAGUUCGGCAGGGGAGACUGGAAUUCCUGGUGUAGCGGUGAAAUGCGCAGAUAUCAGGAGGAACACCGGUGGCGAAGGCGGGUCUCUGGGCCGAUACUGACGCUGAGGAGCGAAAGCGUGGGGAGCGAACAGG